AAAAUAUUUUUUCCGUUCGGAAUUACUUGUCGCAGAAAUGGAUGUAUCUAGAUGUAUUUUAGUUCUAGAUACAUCCAUUUUCGAGACAAGUAAUUCUAAACGGAGGAAGUAGGAU
rfam:Triticum urartu cultivar G1812 contig99919, whole genome shotgun sequence.